rnacentral:rRNA from 1 species
AUUGAACGCUGGCGGCAGGCCUAACACAUGCAAGUCGAGCGGAUGAAGGGAGCUUGCUCCUGGAUUCAGCGGCGGACGGGUGAGUAAUGCCUAGGAAUCUGCCUGGUAGUGGGGGAUAACGUCCUGAAACGGGCGCUAAUACCGCAUACGUCCUGAGGGAGAAAGAGGGGGAGCUUCGGACCGCUCGCUAUCAGAUGAGCCUAGGUCGGAUUGGCUAGUUUGUGGGGUAAAGGCCUACUAAGGCGGCGAUCCGUAACUGGUCUGAGAGGAUGAUCAGGCGCCCUGGAACUGGGACACGGUCCAGGCUCCUACGGGACGCAGCAGUGGGGAAUGUUGGACAAUGGGCGAAAGCCUGAUCCAGCCGUGCCGCGUGUGUGACGAAGGUCUUCGGAUUGUAAAGCACUUUAAGUUGGGGGAAAGCGCAGUAAGUUAAUACCUUGCUGUUUUGACGUUACCAACAGAAUAAGCACCGGCUAACUUCGUG